rnacentral:SRP_RNA from 1 species
CGGCGGGUAGGGCUGGGGGGCUAGCCCUCCCCUAAAACCUGAAACGGGCUUAGGCAGGGGCCAGUAACCAGGGUGGAAGGGGGUGCCGACUCUCGGAGGGCGUCGGAAAGGGGCGGGAUGAAGCCGCGUCCCGCUGGAGCGCGGUAGGGUGUGGCGCCACGCGUAGGCGGGGCCUCCCACACUCUCAUGCGCCGAACCGCGUCAGGCCCGGGAGGGAGCAGCGCUAAGGCGCAACCGUGCUGCUGGCGGGGGGUCGUGGAUGACACGCGCCUCUGAUUGCCGCCGGGAGCUCGGUCCUCGACUGCCUGGGGGCCGCCG